rnacentral:rRNA from 2 species
GCAUAUCAAUAAGCGGAGGAAAAGAAACCAACAGGGAUUGCCCCAGUAACGGCGAGUGAAGCGGCAACAGCUCAAAUUUGAAAUCUGGCCCCCCGGCCCGAGUUGUAAUUUGGAGAGGAUGCUUUUGGCGCGGCGCCGUCCGAGUUCCUUGGAACAGGACGCCACAGAGGGUGAGAGCCCCGUACGGACGGACGCCUAGCCUCUACAAAGCUCCUUCGACGAGUCGAGUAGUUUGGGAAUGCUGCUCAAAAUGGGAGGUAAAUUUCUUCUAAAGCUAAAUACCGGCCAGAGACCGAUAGCGCACAAGUAGAGUGAUCGAAAGAUGAAAAGCACUUUGAAAAGAGGGUUAAACAGUACGUGAAAUUGUUGAAAGGGAAGCGCCUGUGACCAGACUUGCGCCCCGCGGACCACCCGGCGACCUCGCCGGUGCACUCCGCGGGGCGCAGGCCAGCAUCGGUUCUCCUGGGGGGACAAAGGCCGCGGGAACGUAGCUCCUUCGGGCGUGUUAUAGCCCGCGGCGCCAUGCCCCUGGGGGGACCGAGGACCGCGCUUCGGCAAGGAUGCUGGCGUAAUGGUCAUCAGCGACCCGUCUUGAAACACGGACC